rnacentral:rRNA from 1 species
UACGUAGGGUCCGAGCGUUGUCCGGAAUUACUGGGCGUAAAGAGCUCGUAGGCGGUCUGUCGCGUCGAUCGUGAAAACUUGGGGCUUAACCCUGAGCUUGCGGUCGAUACGGGCAGACUGGAGUACUGCAGGGGAGACUGGAAUUCCUGGUGUAGCGGUGGAAUGCGCAGAUAUCAGGAGGAACACCGGUGGCGAAGGCGGGUCUCUGGGCAGUAACUGACGCUGAGGAGCGAAAGCGUGGGGAGCGAACAGG